GUGAGGAAUAUUGGUCAAUGGGCGAGAGCCUGAACCAGCCAAGUCGCGUGAAGGAAGAAGGAUCUAUGGUUCGUAAACUUCUUUUGCAGGGGAAUAAAGUGCAGGACGUGUUCUGUUUUGUAUGUACCCUGAGAAUAAGGAUCGGCUAACUCCGUGCCAGCAGCCGCGGUAAUACGGAGGAUCCGAGCGUUAUCCGGAUUUAUUGGGUUUAAAGGGUGCGUAGGUGGUUUGAUAAGUCAGCGGUGAAAGUUUGCAGCUUAACUGUAAAAAUGCCGUUGAAACUGUCGGACUUGAGUGUAAAUGAGGUAAGCGGAAUGCGUGGUGUAGCGGUGAAAUGCAUAGAUAUCACGCAGAACUCCGAUUGCGAAGGCAGCUUACUAAGCUACAACUGACACUGAAGCACGAAAGCGUGGGGAUCAAACAGGAUUAGAAACCCCGGUAGUCC
rnacentral:rRNA from 1 species